rnacentral:lncRNA from 1 species
UUAAAAACGCAACUUUUUAUUAAUAAUUCUGUUUUGGGUGGUGGUGGGGUGGGGGGUUCAUUGUUUGUUUUGGGUUUAUUUUGUUUGUGUUCACAUUAGUUCUCGUGGUUCUCUCCUUAAAGCUAGUUCUCGCAUGAACCCUACCCUAGUUCUCUCCAUAGCUGUUAGCGCCUGUUACACAAUUUCUUUGUUACACACUUACACUAGCCACUAGGUGCUGACUAGGCAGUUUCUUUAGCCUUCAAACUAAGAAGAGUAAAAUGUCAUUUUCGUCCCUGUGGUUUGGCCAAUUUUGCUACUUUCAUCCAAAGGUUUGUUUUUCCGCAUUUGGAUCCAGAAAGUUUGAAAUCUUGCCACUUUCAUGAGUUCAUCCGACUCGUUAACUCGAUGAAAAUGGCAAGAUUUCAAACCUUUUGGAUCCAGAUGCAAAAAACACAAACCUUUGGACGAAAGUCGCAAAACUGGACAAAUCUCAGGGACGAAAAUGGCAUUUUACUUAACUAAGAAUUAAAGUUGAAAGAAGUUAAAGAGAAUACCUCAUCAAGGAGCUCACUACGGCCUUGUCCAGCUUCAACAGCUGCUAAAGCUUUCUCAUGCCAUCCGUGUUGAAGAAGCCAAUUAAUAUGAUCUUCUGCAUCCCUGUCAAUCAGAAGCAUAUUAUCAUUUUACACGUUUAUUUUUAAAAUUAUUUUAUAGAUAGUUAAUGGGUUACUAAUUACUUGUUCUUGUUCUUGUUAACCCCUUUAAGAUAAAACACGGCCCAAAUGAACUCACCACUCACUCAUAAGUAAAUGGGUCGAAAUCGACACCACUGGUGCAUGAUAAAAAAAUAGAGAACAUUUUUCCUUUUGUACAUAUGUGAAGCUCUUUCCGGUAGUUCAACUGUUACUUACCUAGGUUUUGCAAUAACCACAUCUUUUGGGGACACAACGUAGUAUAACGGUUCGUCACCAGCUGCCCAUUGACCCCCUGCAUAGCUGCUACCUACAUUCAAAAUUUGUAAGCAUCUUGUGCUAUAUGAAAAUAACUAGAAACGAGCAUGAGCAUGUACCUGUAAAAGGUACAUGAGCAAGAGAGUAAUCUUUCGCCUUGUAAUGCUCAAAUCCAAGCACAGGUAAUGCAUCUGUCGCCAACUCGUCAUUGUUCCAUGUCACUACAUGCACUUCUGGUCUUUGUGCAUUUCCCUGCUUAAUGUAUAUCCAUACAUAUUAGAUGCAUAUCAGAGGACAGAAAGCCACCAAGAAUGGACUAUAUUUACCAGUGCAGUAAAUUUAACGGAACAUACAUACAUGAUACAUAUAUGAUGAUAAAUACCAAGCCCAUAUUAACACACUACUAAAUGUUUUUACGUUCAUGUAUUAAUAUUUAUUAUCUGAUAUCAUGACGGAUUCCAGAAAUUUCUUGACCAAGUACAUGGUAGAACAGAAGGUCAACAGCUAGGCCUGUAAAUGAACCGAACGGACACCUCAUUUAACUUUAACCAAACACGAACAUAUAAUUGAGCACAUUUUUUUGUUCAUGUUCAUUUAUUAAGAAAAUGGGCAUGUUAGUGUUCGUUUAGGUAACGAACACCUCAUUUAAUUUAACUUUAACCAAACACGAACAUAUAAUCAAGCACAUUUUUUGUUCAUGUCCGUUUAUUAAGAAAAAGGGCAUGUUAGUGUUAGUUUAAAACCUAAACGAACAGCAAACGUAAACAAACUUAAACAAACAUGAUUUAACAAACAAUAAACAACGCAAAUGAACAUAAUUUACUAAACAUAAAGUAACUUUUAAUAUAAAUAAAUUAGUGAUUAUUUACGAUAAAUUCCAUCGGAAAACCCAUUUUUAUUAGGAGAAAGCCCAAUUACCAAUUAGUUAUAUUAAGCAGUUAGAAAGUUCCUUUUAUGUUUAAUAUUAAGAUAAAUAUAACUACUUAUGUAUUUAAAAUGAAACAAAUGAAAAUAAAUAAACGAACGAACGUAAACGGACGUUCACGAACAUAAAUGAACAAACAAAACGUGUGUUCAUGUUCAUUCGUUUAAUUAAAUAAACAAAAAAUCGUGUUCAUGUUGAUGUUCGUUUAUUAAAUAAACAAACAUAAAUGAACUUCCCACCAAACAAGUUCAUGAACGUUCGGUUCGUUUACAGGCCUAUCAAUGGCCAAAAAUUAUGACAAACUAAACAUCAGUCAUCCAACUAUC